rnacentral:lncRNA from 1 species
GUCAGAGCCAGGCAUGGUGGCGCACAUCUGUUACCCCAGCACUCAGGAGGCUGAGGCAGGAGAAUUGCUGCGUGUUUGAGGCUAGCCUGGACUAUAUAAUGAGCUCAAGGCUAGACUAAACUAUAUAGUAAGACCCUGUGUCAAAAAAUCAAAAAAAGAAAAAAAUUGAGUAGCCUUCAGCAGACAACUUUUGCGACCCCAGAAGACAUGGGCGCUCCCCCCACCAGUACGCCAGCAGCUGCAUGAGCAGCAGGCCAGCUGCACUUCCUGGAAUUGCUGAAUGCUGACACUGUCCACCCAGAGGAGCAACAGAGCCCGAGGGUUGAAAUCCUGCCCCAAGCCUCAAAAUAAAAAAUAGAAAGGGCUGGGGAUGUAGUUCAGUGGCAGAAUACCCCCAUGUUUGAUCCCCAGUACAGACAAUUCUUCUGUAACGACGGAGCUCCGUUCCUGCAACCAGGUCGCUAAAUGAAUUGGUAGCUAAAUGAAGCAUUGUAUUUAGCGCGUACAUCACAAUAUUCAGAACAAAGAAA